CUCGCUGAAUUUAAGCAUAUUAUUAAGCAAAGGAAAAGAAACUAACAAGUAUUCACCCAGUAAUGGCGAAUAAACAGGGA
rfam:Oikopleura dioica, whole genome shotgun assembly, reference scaffold set, scaffold scaffold_8